ensembl:lncRNA
AUGACAUAGAGGUUAACUGUAGUAUGUCAUGGAAUGCGAUCAUGCAGGAAAGUGUUUGUAAGCGGUCAGACUAGCGUGCCGGAGAGCCGAGUUGGAUGUUGAUGUAAACUACAUUAAACAUCUUCCCUAUCGACAGCUGGGCGUUGCUGUGGAGACCAAUACCAUGGCGACAGAGGGGGGUGACAAGGCGGAGACGAAGAAGAAGUUGACGGGCCCGGCCAGAAUACUCCGGCUCGGGAUGACCAGGAAGGGUUCCGAGAGCCGAGCCAAUAGAAGACACGGCAUCUGAAGGUGGAGUUGGAGAGGGGGGAGGAGUCUCCGGCAUGCAAGAAGAGGUCCGAGAAGAAGCAGAAGUGUGCUCCGGUGUCGACGUCCCGACCACCAGGGGGAGCUGUUCUCAGAAGGAGGAGGUGACGGAGGAGGCGGGCAGGGGUACGAGGAAGACCCAGAAGGGGGUGUGGAGGAGGGUGUUCCUCACCUGCCUCAGGAGACGACGGCGGCCGCGCCCGGAGGGCAGCACCCCCGGGUGCCCCGCGGAGCAGAUGGGUCCGUCCAGCGAGGGCGCGAAGAGGAAGAGACGCUUCCCCGGGCUGACACUUUUGCGCCGCCUCCUGCCCUCCAGCAGGGGGCGGGACGGGGGGGCGGGGCCCCGUUGUGCCGCGGAGGACGAGCGCGAAACACGCC